UACGGGGGGGGCAAGCGUUGUUCGGAAUUACUGGGCGUAAAGCGCGUAUAGGCGGCUAAGUGUGUCGGGCGUGAAAUCCCACGGCUCAACCGUGGAAGUGCACCCGAAACUACGUAGCUAGAGUCCUGGAGAGGAAGGUGGAAUGCUUGGUGUAGAGGUGAAAUUCGUAGAUAUCAAGCGGAACACCGGUGGCGAAGGCGGCCUUCUGGACAGUGACUGACGCUGAGACGCGAAAGCGUGGGGAGCAAACAGG
rnacentral:rRNA from 1 species